rnacentral:rRNA from 1 species
CCUACGGGUGGCUGCAGUGGGGAAUAUUGGACAAUGGGGGGAACCCUGAUCCAGCCAUGCCGCGUGUGUGAAGAAGGCCCUCGGGUUGUAAAGCACUUUCAGUGAGGAAGAACGCCUGGUGGUUAAUACCCAUCAGGAAAAACAUCACUCACAGAAGAAGCACCGGCUAACUCCGUGCCAGCAGCCGCGGUAAUACGGAGGGUGCGAGCGUUAAUCGGAAUUACUGGGCGUAAAGCGCGCGUAGGUGGCUUGAUAAGCCGGUUGUGAAAGCCCCGGGCUCAACCUGGGAACGGCAUCCGGAACUGUCAAGCUAGAGUGCAGGAGAGGAAGGUAGAAUUCCCGGUGUAGCGGUGAAAUGCGUAGAGAUCGGGAGGAAUACCAGUGGCGAAGGCGGCCUUCUGGACUGACACUGACACUGAGGUGCGAAAGCGUGGGUAGCAAACAGGAUUAGAUACCCUAGUAGUC